rnacentral:rRNA from 1 species
GAGGGGGGGGGGGUGCUAAUACAUGCAAGUCGAACGCACAGCGAAAGGUGCUUGCACCUUUCAAGUGAGUGGCGAACGGGUGAGUAACACGUGGACAACCUGCCUCAAGGCUGGGGAUAACAUUUGGAAACAGAUGCUAAUACCGAAUAAAACUUAGUGUCGCAUGACACAAAGUUAAAAGGCGCUUCGGCGUCACCUAGAGAUGGAUCCGCGGUGCAUUAGUUAGUUGGUGGGGUAAAGGCCUACCAAGACAAUGAUGCAUAGCCGAGUUGAGAGACUGAUCGGCCACAUUGGGACUGAGACACGGCCCAAACUCCUACGGGAGGCUGCAGUAGGGAAUCUUCCACAAUGGGCGAAAGCCUGAUGGAGCAACGCCGCGUGUGUGAUGAAGGCUUUCGGGUCGUAAAGCACUGUUGUAUGGGAAGAACAGCUAGAAUAGGAAAUGAUUUUAGUUUGACGGUACCAUACCAGAAAGGGACGGCUAAAUACGUGCCAGCAGCCGCGGUAAUACGUAUGUCCCGAGCGUUAUCCGGAUUUAUUGGGCGUAAAGCGAGCGCAGACGGUUUAUUAAGUCUGAUGUGAAAGCCCGGAGCUCAACUCCGGAAUGGCAUUGGAAACUGGUUAACUUGAGUGCAGUAGAGGUAAGUGGAACUCCAUGUGUAGCGGUGGAAUGCGUAGAUAUAUGGAAGAACACCAGUGGCGAAGGCGGCUUACUGGACUGCAACUGACGUUGAGGCUCGAAAGUGUGGGUAGCAAACAGGAUUAGAUACCCUGGUAGUCCACACCGUAAACGAUGAACACUAGGUGUUAGGAGGUUUCCGCCUCUUAGUGCCGAAGCUAACGCAUUAAGUGUUCCGCCUGGGGAGUACGACCGCAAGGUUGAAACUCAAAGGAAUUGACGGGGACCCGCACAAGCGGUGGAGCAUGUGGUUUAAUUCGAAGCAACGCGAAGAACCUUACCAGGUCUUGACAUCCUUUGAAGCUUUUAGAGAUAGAAGUGUUCUCUUCGGAGACAAAGUGACAGGUGGUGCAUGGUCGUCGUCAGCUCGUGUCGUGAGAUGUUGGGUUAAGUCCCGCAACGAGCGCAACCCUUAUUGUUAGUUGCCAGCAUUCAGAUGGGCACUCUAGCGAGACUGCCGGUGACAAACCGGAGGAAGGCGGGGACAACGUCAGAUCAUCAUGCCCCUUAUGACCGGGGCUACACCCUGCUACAUGGGGGUAACAACAAAUUGC